rnacentral:sRNA from 1 species
UCUGGCAUCCUUGUAGCGGUUCGGCGCGUCGCCGAACUCGCCAAGCACCCGGGCGCCGAGGACGAGACCUAGUCCGGGAAGA